UACGAACUGUGCGAACGUUAUUCGGAAUCACUGGGCUUACAGGGUGCGUAGGCGGCUAUUCAGGUCAGGUGUGAAAGCCCCCGGCUCAACCGGGGAACUGCGUCUGAUACUGGAUGGCUUGAGUUCGGGAGAGGGAUGUGGAAUUCCAGGUGUAGCGGUGAAAUGCGUAGAUAUCUGGAGGAACACCGGUGGCGAAGGCGGCAUCCUGGACCGGCAUUGACGCUGAGGCGCGAAAGCCAGGGGAGCAAACGGG
rnacentral:rRNA from 1 species